CGAGAUCUGCAGGCGAACACUGCCACUGUCAAAGGAUCGCGUGAAAUCACCAGAAAACAUCUCGUAGAUCAUCCGAGCUACCACAGGAAUGACCUGUUCAGGACACAAAGCACACAAAUGUCCAGUGAGAUAAAGGUUGGGAGCAACAAGUGAUGGGGCACAUGGCCCAGACCAGUACACCUUGCACUGGCACAGCCUAAUGGCAUAAAUGGCAUGACCGCUGACCUCCAGGAUCAGACCUCUGUCCAUGACGUCUAGUAGUUUGCUGGUGAAGAGCUUCUGCCUCUCAUUGGUGAUAUGCUCUGGACCUGGGAAUUUGACCUGCUCCAGACUGACAGGACCAAAGAGCUCCUCCUGGUCAGGCAUGGGACCCAGGUCUCCAUAAAAGAGCCGACAACCCUGAGGGUUGCUCACUGUCAUGGUCUGCCCAUAUUCCUUCCCACGGUACUGAAACUUGAUGUCCAGGUCAGUCACUGCAAGGUGAGACAUGACAGUGAGUUCUGCUCCACUUCUCUGCCUGUCUGUCCCUAAGACUCAUGCAAGUCCAUCAUUAUCAAGCCAUCUUUCAACUGGAAUUCAGAAAGGCCACUGCUAGAGUUAUCCUUCCUGUAAUAAAGGGAAACAUCAACAUAUCCCAGGAAUAUUCACACACAAAGUUGCUUCGAAGCAAAGCAUUUGAGGCCCAUCUGGUCAGUUACCACAUCCUAAGGACUAUAAUUUCACCAAAGUGCUGAGUCCUGGUGUUCCAUAUUCAUUGAGCAACUGUCCACACCAAUAAGCAUUGGAAGGAGCUAAAAAGUAAGGUGUCUGAUUUGUGUCUAAUUUUUGAUACAAAGGAGCCAGAGGAACAAAAAGAAAUACUUAGCCAUCUUUCUAGAAAUCACACAUGUGAGCACAUACUGGAUCUAUUCUAAUAUACACCAAAAGCACAGUUCUCUGAAAAGUAAA